GACCUGGCGUAGACGUCUGGGCUCAUGGCUUGAAUGAAGGCUAUGUAGUCACAGGAGCCAUGGGGUAUCCCUGCUUGGCCCUGCAAGCCAGAACAAUGGAAGCCACUCUGGAGAGAGAGAGACAGAGAUGAAAACAGAUGGAAAAGCAGCGAGAAGCCACGGGAGUGAGCUGCCUGCAUUCCCCGCUCUCCAGACCCGGGUUCUGGAUCCAGCCUCACCUCCUGCCAUAGUUUCCGAGAGGUAUCCCAGUCUCCUUUCAACUCAGUGUCUUCCUUUUUGCUUACUUGAUUGGGUUUCUAUUACGUGCAUCCAGAAUAGUUUCCACUAAGGCAGUGAUUCACAGUUUACUGAACGCUUUCACAUGUUAUCCUGUUUGGAUUUUGCUUCGCACGCUACUCCAGGGAGAAGGCAAGGGAGGCAUCAUCAUCAUCUGCAUUUUAUGGUCAAAGACGUCCAGGCAAUGACUGCUCAAGGUCUCCUAGGCAGGGAGGCAGGUCUUUGACCCAGACACAGCAUCAUCUCCACUGCACCACACCCUCUUGACAUUGGAGGUGUACUUCCAGGAAAAGGGACUCUGGCGCCAAGGUAUAAUUGGAAGAGAGAUGCUGCAUUCCUAAGCACAAGCGCAUAUUUCAAGGGGAAAAUAGGAGCUUCAGCUUGAUAAUUCAUGCCACAGCUUUCAUGAGACUGACUCUGUAAACAAAGUGUAUUGAGAACGGGAAACCAGGCGUGGAAUUUGUGGUGGAGAAUACUCCCCCUUAUAAAAAUAUGUGAAGCUUAUAAUAUCAUAUUAUUUUAGCAUUUGUCAUACUUCUUUCUCUCUUUCUCGAGGGCACCAGUGAACAAUGGACAGUUUUUUAGGAGACAGGGAAAGUCCAUCUCGCCUCCAGCCCUGGCCUUCCCCAUGCAUGCAAAUCCCCACUGCUCUUCUUGACACUCCUCUACUUAUCCAACCUAGGCUCAAACUGGAAGGCAAGACCUGAUCAUAUGACCUGAUCAUAUGUGAGUUUCUGUCUGCACCCAAGUCUCUAGGACACAGAGGGAACAUCUUGCUUCUGGGACAUUCCUCAGGUGCUGAGCUCCCCUGCCUGAAGGGAGCUGCUUGAGGACUGAGCUGUGCAUCUUCAUUCUGGACCCUGGUCUUUGCUACAGGGGCUCAGUGAUGUCUGCAGAGUGGCCUUGGGGGCCCCUACAUUGUCUGGCCCAGAUGCAAGCGCCUGCUGAUGUUCCACAAGGAAUCUCUCCCCAGACCAAUGUUAGGAGGGCAACCCCCUUCCCCACCCACCCAGUAAUCCACUCAGAGGGAAGAGAAGGAAGGAUGAAUGGCUUUUCAGAAGAGAAAGCACAGUUCUCAAGUGGAGCCUUGGGUCUCUCUGCAUAGGACUGACUGACGAGCCUAUCUGGAGAGCUCCUACUAAGCCCAGUCUCCUGUCUCCUCCACCACCAAAAGGCAUCCUUUGGUGAUGUCAUUACUGUCAUUCACCGUGAAUAUGGACAAUCAACAGCCAAGGAUCUUUUGUGUAAUUAAAUGUACUAGCUUGACAGCUCCCAAAUGAGGGGGUAAUAGUUACUGGAUGUAAAGUGGCUUUUCUCUAAUCCUGAGUGACGGCAUGCUGUUGCUAGGUGCCUGUUUUUCUGCCUUUCAAAUACAAAGUGACUAAUGGGGUAUAUUUCAUAACACAUCUGCAAGUAUGUAGUUCUUCUUAUACUUCGAUGCCCUUUAAAAUAUUAUUAUCUGCCAACAUUUGGACUAUGUGCUUAUAUGCAAAUUAGACAUAAUAAAGGAAGAAGGGAGAAGUUCUUUGCUCUUGAAAAAUCAUAUUUAUAAGGUUAACGAGAUUUAUAUAUUACAUCAGGGAACUGGGGUUAGAAUGCAAAACUUUAUCAAUGUAACUUGGCAACAAUAAAGAUCCUCUGGUGUUUUCCCCUGUAUGAGAUCAAAACUUUUUAUCUACACUGAGGUUUAAUU
rnacentral:lncRNA from 1 species